AUCCUGGCUUAGGACGAACGCUGGCGGCGUGCCUAGCACAUGCAAGUCGAGCGGAGUUAACAAGAGGAAGUUUCGGAUGGAAUUUGUUAAUUAGCGGCGGACGGGUGAGUAACGCGUGAGCGACCAACCUUGCACAGGGGAUAACGGACCGAAAGGUUCACUAAUACCGCAUGAGACCACGGUGUUGCAUGACACAGAGGUCAAAGGAGCAAUCCGGUGCAAGACGGGCUCGCGUCCGAUUAGGUAGUUGGUGGGGUAAUGGCCCACCAAGCCUAUGAUCGGUAGCCGACCUGAGAGGGUGAUCGGCCACAUUGGAACUGAGAUACGGUCCAAACUCCUACGGGAGGCAGCAGUGGGGAAUAUUGGGGCAAUGGGGGAAACCCUGACCCAGCAACGCCGCGUGAAGGAAGAAGGUUUUCGGAUUGUAAACUUCUGUCCUUGGUGAAGAGAAGAAGACGGUAGCCAAGGAGGAAGCCCCGGCUAACUACGUGCCAGCCGCCGC
rnacentral:rRNA from 1 species